UCAGAACGAACGCUGGCAGCGUGGAUUAGGCAUGCAAGUCGAACGGGAUUUCCGCUCGUAGCAAUACAGGUGGAAUGAGAGUGGCGGAAGGGCGAGUAAUGCAUGGGUAAGCUAUCCUUUAGUUGGGGACAACUCCGCGAAAGUGGAGCUAAUACCGAAUGCGGUACGGUGACGCGAGUCACCAGUAUUAAAGGUGGGGACCUUCGGGCCUGCCGCUUGAGGAAGUGCCCAUGUGCCAUCAGCUUGUUGGUGAGGUAACGGCUCACCAAGGCUACGACGGCUAGCUGGUCUGAGAGGACGACCAGCCGCACUGGGACUGAGAUACUGCCCAGACUCCUACGGGAGGCUGCAGUCGAGGAUCAUUCGCAAUGCGCGAAAGCGUGACGAUGCGACGCUGCGUGGAGGAUUGAAGGCCCUCGGGUCGUAAACUCCUGUCAUGAGGGAAAAGCAACGCGGGUGUGAAUAGCGCCUGCGCAGGAUGGUACCUCAAGAGGAAGCCACGGCUAACUCUGUGCCAGCAGCCGCGGUAAUACAGAGGUGGCAAGCGUUGUUCGGAUUUACUGGGCGUAAAGGGUGCGUAGGCGGCGUGGUGUGUCGGAUGUGAAAUCCCAGGGCUCAACCCUGGAAGUGCAUCCGAAACUACCAUGCUAGAGUGCAGGAUGGGAGAGCGGAAUUCAUGGUGUAGCGGUGAUAUGCGCUGAUAUCAUGAAGAACACCGGUGGCGAAGGCGGCUCUCUGGAAUGCAACUGACGCUGAGGCACGAAAGCCGGGGGAGCAAACAGGAUUAGAUACCCUGGUAGUCCCGGCCCUAAACGGUGCGCACUUGGCGUGGGGAGAUUUGACCCUUCCCGUGCCGGAGCUAACGCGUUAAGUGCGCCGCCUGGGGAGUACGGCCGCAAGGUUAAAACUCAAAGAAAUUGACGGGGGCCCGCACAAGCGGAGGAGCAUGUGGCUUAAUUCGAUGCAACGCGAAGAACCUUACCUGGGCUAGACAUGCAGCUGCACGUCCCAUGAAAGUGGGAUUCCUUCGAGGGUGCUGCACAGGUGCUGCUUGGCUGUCGUCAGUUCGUGCCGUGAGGUGUUGGGUUAAGUCCCGCAACGAACGCAACCCCUAUGUUUAGUUACCAGCGGAUAAUGCCGGGGACUCUAGACAGACUGCCCGUACAAGCGGGAGGAAGGUGGGGAUGACGUCAAGUCAGUAUGGCCCUUACGUCCAGGGCUGCACACGUGCUACAAUGGUCGGUACAAUAGGAUGCAAAGCCGCGAGGUUGAGCAAAUCCCCAAAACCGGCCCCAGUUCGGAUUGGAGUCUGCAACUCGACUCCAUGAAGUUGGAUUCGCUAGUAACGGCGUAUCAGCUACGACGCCGUGAAUACGUUCCCGGGCAUUGUACACACCGCCCGUCACAUCAUGAAGC
rnacentral:rRNA from 1 species